ensembl:lncRNA
CUGGACCCUAGUAAUAGGAUCUAUCUGGACCCUAGUAAUAGGAUCUUCUGGACCCUAGUAAUAGGAUCUAACUGGCCCUAGUAAUAGGAUCUAACUGGACCCUAGUAAUAGGAUCUAACUGACCCCUAGUAAUAGGAUCUACUGGACCUUAGUAAUUGGAUCUAUCUGGAACCUAAAGGUUUUACCUUGUCAGAUCACAUGGUCUGGAGAAUAUCCUCCUACCCUGUUUGUGAGCCCUGUAAGUGCCCUGUACCCUGGUAAGUGUGUAAGUAAGAUGUUGUAUUUAAGGGUGGAGUGUAAAAGUGGUGCGAGUGUGCACCCUGGUAAGUGUGUAAGUAAGAUGUUGUAUUUAAGGGUGGAGUGUAAAAGGGUGCGAGUGUGCACCCUUGAAAGUCUACUGUGUGUAUUUAUGUAUCUGUAUUUGUUGCUCUGUGCCCCCCAAUGCUCUGUUGUUCACUGUACAUUUCUACUUCAUCUGUUGAUUGAUUACAUGCUGAUUUAAUCACUUGAUUGAUAGUGCAGGGUGGCAAUUCACAAAGCAGGAGACAGUAUGUCAGCCAUCUUACUUUGAGACACUUACUUUGAGACACAUGAGAUAUCAUUUGUAUUUCUCUGGUUCGUAUCUCAUCUGUUUCAAGUUUAGCAUGGGACGAACUGAGAGAAUGUCAUACUUAUAACAAGUGUGUUUUACCUCUCUGCACUAGGAAAUAUGAAGUCUGAGUGACAAGCUGUUUGUUUGUGCCAUCAUGCCAACUCUUUCUCACUCAUUGUUAUACCAAACACAUUUGGCUUGACAAUGAGCAAUGGAGUUGGCCAGAACACAAACAGAUUUGGGACCAGGAUAGGAAAUCUAGUGUUUCAGAAUAUUUACGGUAGUUAGCCAGCUGAGCUAAAAACAUUGCUCCUGCUUUGUGGGAUACCACCAUAGAGAUUAAUAGAGGCCUCUAGUGGCCAAAAGGCUGUAUUAGCAUGGGCAGCACCAUUGAGGGCUUCCACCAUUUUAAUGUAGUCAACUGGGUUGGACUUCCAACUUCAUUGGCUGAUCCCUCCUGGUGACCCUGUUGGAGUCAUGUCCAACCAGUUCAUUAGGAGGAAUCAGCUAAUCGUGGAGAAGAAUAUUGACUACUACAAUGGCACUGCCCAUGCUGUCAGACGCUGUAAUGGCACAGAUACAAAGAUAAUGGAUACCACCCUGUUCUAACGUUGGUGUUGUGGUCCUGAUGGUCUGUAUACGUAGAUGAGUCCUCUAUCUAUCUAUCUCUAUGGAUACCACCCUGUUCUAACAUUGGUGUUGUGGUACUGUGGUCCUGAUGGUCUGUAUACGUAGAUGAGUCCUCUAUCUAUCUCUAUGGAUACCACCCUGUUCUAAUGUUGGUGUUAUGGUACCGUGGUCCUGAUGGUCUGUAUAGAUGGUGUGAUUGAGGAAAGGAUGACAAAAUACAUCUAUUUAUAAGAGGAAAUGCUACUGAGUGAAAACAAAAUGUCAUAUUUUCUAAAUAGGCUCUAUUUUUUAGAAGUCAAAUCAUUUGGACAGCAAUACUAUCCUAUCCAGGCAUUAAUGGGUUCAAUACCUUGAGAGGUUGACUUUCACGAAGAAAG